rnacentral:rRNA from 1 species
GAUGAACGCUAGCGGCAGGCCUAAUACAUGCAAGUCGGACGGGAUUCAGGAGCUUGCUUCUGCUGAGAGUGGCGCACGGGUGCGUAACACGUAUGUAACCUACCUUUAUCAGGGGGAUAGCCUCUCGAAAGAGAGAUUAAGCCCGCAUAAAAUCACAGCACAGCAUUGUGUAUUGAUCAAAUAUUUAUAGGAUAAAGAUGGGCAUGCGGAACAUUAGCUAGAUGGCGGGGUAACGGCCCACCAUGGCGACGAUGUUUAGGGGAUCUGAGAGGAUGGCCCCCCACGCUGGUACUGAGGCACGGACCAGAGACCUACGGGAGGCAGCAGUAAGGAAUAGUGGGCAAAGGGCGGAAGCCUGAACCAGCCAUGCCGCGUGCAGGAAGACGGCCCUACGGGUUGUAAACUGCUUUUAUACGGGAAUAAACCCAGAUACGUGUAUCUGGCUGAAUGUACUGUAAGAAUAAGGAUCGGCUAACUCCGUG